CCCUAAGUUGACUAAAAUAUAAAAUCUUUACUUUUAAUUUUUGAAUACUGCCAAAAAUGUUUUAGGGGAAAACAAAAUCUGCAAAAUGUAGUCCGAAUUUACUCUGUUUUGGCUAAAAGUCUAUUUUUGUUUGAGCCUUAUUCCAUAAUAAAGUAGAAAUAUCGAAUUUUAUGUCAAUAAUAAUACAUUUCACAAAUACUUUUUAUGUUUAGAACAAAUUUUACCCAUGGCAUUUAACUUUAUAACAAUCCAAAUUUGAGAACUCAAACCAUGAGUAAACAACACCCUUAAAGUUGUCCUACCACAUCCAUGAAAAAGUUUUUCUCUACAACCCUAAACAUAACAGAUCUUAAAACUCAUUAAUUAACAGAUUUUCAAAUGACCUUGACCUUUGACCUUUAUGUCAUUUUGUUCGACCAAGAAAGACGAUUCUAUCCCAAGUAGUCCGAAGUCUCUAUGAUAAAUAAUAAAAAAGCUGGAAGUGAUUUUAUGGAAAUUCAAAAACUUGGCAAUAACUACUAGAAUCGGCCUCAGAUUCUUUCGGUAUGAAUAGAUUGAAGUAUCCUCUAAGUGUACAAAAGACAUUGGUAAAAGUUCCAAGUCUCUAUCGCUUAUGGUUUCAGAGAAGUAUCGAUAACAAGCUUUUCGUACACAAAAGCAAUAACUUUGUAAGUUCUGGGAGUUUUCAAGCAAAGAGCCAUUUGGUACCAUAACUUUUAAUAGUCAAUAACAUAAAGAAAAAAUUGUUUCAGUAUCUCUAGAAAUAAAAAGGCUGUCCCUGGAAAAAAAAAACAAGAAAAAACUAGUGGACUAAUUUCCACCUCAUUGUGUUUUUUGUUUAAAAUAAGUUUUUUUUCUUCAAAACAAUAAAGUAUUUUCUCUGCGUUACUUUAUAGAUAAGUGUCAAAAACUUAAAUAUGCAGGGUUUUUUUUUUUUGCUGGACCUUGACCAUUGACCUUUAUGUCAUUUUGAUCAGACAAGGUAGGCACUUCAAUACCAAGUGGUCCGAUGUAUCUAUAAUUAUUGGUUCAAAAGUUUGUUGUUUUUUUUUUUGUUUUUUUUUUUUAUUGAAUUUUCACAUAUUCACAUACCAUAGCAUAAACAUUUAUAUAAAUAUAUGUUGCAAUGUAUACAUAUACGUUAAAUUUAUAGUAUUUGUUUGAUAGAUAUAAUCAAUAUUUUGAUAUAAAGUAUAUAUGUACAUAUAUGUAUUACUUCUCAGAAUAGUAACGAUAUAAUUUGAACAAGUUGUGGUAUAAAUAUAUGUGAAAAAUGGUUUUCUUUUUAGAAAAAAAAAAGGAAAAGGAAAAAUUCAAAGAUACAGAGCAAAAAAAAAUAAUAAUAAUAAUAAGAAACAGGGACAUUAAGGAGAGAAUAAAGAUGGUGAUGAAUGUUCCAAACGUUGAAAUAUAUCUUUCCAAUAAAUAUCAAACAAAUGAUAAUUACAGUUUUUCAGAAGCAAAAGUUUUCAAUAAACAGUCUUCUGGUUAUAGAUUUCUUAAUGUUUUUUACAUUUAGCCUUGAUGUUUUCAUUUUAGUUUGCAGAAUACAUUGUUUUGUGAAAAGAAUGAUUAAAAUUGGUUC
rnacentral:misc_RNA from 1 species